ACAGCUGGAAUGUGGCACGUGGGUCAGACCCUUCUGAGUCCAGUUGGGUAACUCAGCAGAGAUCAGAAUGAUCUUCAAAAACCAACAAGCCAUUGGCACGUAUCUUCAGGCAUGCUUGAAGUCUAUGGGGCCAAAUGGUAGAGUAUCCUGGCAGAGCCAAAAAGUCUUCUUUUAUGACACAGAAAAGAAAACUUCUUUCAAAGUAGUUAUGCAACCCAGGAGAACACAAUGCAUCCACUGUGUGUGUCCUGGGGCUGUCUAUGAACACAUGAUUUCAUAUUUUUGUCCUCUGUAAACUUCAGCAUUGAUGAUGAACAUUAUUUCAAGGAAAUAUCCCACUACUUUAUCUCUGUAAAGACAUCCAUAGAGAAUGGGCCUUUUAGAAAAUCUCACACCACUUCCUAGUUGGAGCAAUUAAACAAUAGAGAAGAUGGGUAUUCUGGAGCAGAAUUUAAUGAAACAGAACUCCACCAUCUAUGGCAAGUUUGACUGCUUGAGUCUCCAGAGGAUAAUAGUUGGAGGCCACUGAGGCCCAAAUUCAUCAGUCCGGCCAUUGAAGGACACAAGUGAACAAAGGAGGACGGCAAAGACAGAACUGUGAUAUUCAAACACUCAAUAGCUCACAGUGUCGGGGUUCAUUAUGACACUUACUAAGCACAUGCCAUAUUUCUGACACUGUGCUAAGAGUUUCAUGAACAUUAACUAAAUUAACCCCAUAAAAACGCCAUUAGAAAGAUGCAGUUUUGUACCCCCUUACACAGAUGAAGAAAAUAAAGUAUAGAGACUUUAAGAAAUUUGCCAGAAGUCUUAUAACUGGUUAAGUAAAGGGCACUGAACAAGUGAAGCUGUGCUGAAAACAACAGUGGCCAAGGCAGAGAUAUUCUUAUACCUCAACCCGUUGUGCAGAUGGAAGUCUGGCCAAAAAACCAUAAAGCAUCAAGUCUGACUGUGAGUCAAUCUGUCAGCACAAGUACAAGAUUGGUUUGCCAUGGCUCUUUGAAACAGUUACUCUUGUCCUCAUUGUAGAGAUGGCGAUACUAAGGCAGAAUAUGGCUAGCCUGGACUUCUUUUUGUGGAGACUGGAUUCCAAGAUUGAAAGUAGAAGCUACAUGUUUUCUCCAAGCAGGGCUUUCAGACUUCACUUCUGCAACAUUUUAUUGAUGAAAGCAAGUCACAAGACCAGACUGAUUCAAGGGGUGGAGAAAUAGACCCUACUUCUUGAUGGAGGGAGGAGUAGAGUUACAUUGCAAAGGGAUCUGGACAAAAAAAGGAGUGAUUUAUUAGGAAUCAUGUUUAACAAUUUACCACAAUCCCCAGCGCAACUGCCUGUUAGCUGGAUCCAGAAAUGUCUACGACUACUGCAAUGCCACUUGGCCUUAGGGGUGAUGUGACCCAGUGUAAAGAGAUGGUGGUCUUAACCAAUCACAGUUAAGAUAGUUUAGUUUUGGAAGGUAUAAAAAAUAUGUAACAACAUGAAUGCACUUUUAGGGUCAGACAAGAGACUUGGAAAGAGCCUGCAAAAUGGAGGAGCCCUGAGGCCUAAGUCUCAUGAGUGUCAAUGCUUACCUGUAUCUAGACACUGGCAUCCCCCUUUUGAUAAGGCCAAGAUUGAUUGUUUUCCUUUUCUACCUACCCUAUAUCUAAUCCAUGUACAAACACUGUUGACACACAAAAGAACCCUAAAUUCAACAAUCUGUGAAGAAUUUUUGCACUAACAUGUUAGUUCAAAAACUCAACAUUGCUUGCUAAGACUAUUGCAAUAAACUCCUCUAUGAUCCCCUAAUUUGAUUCUUGCUCCUCUUAUUUUUUACACAGUCAUCAGAGUAAAUCUUUUCAAAGGUAAAUUGGAUUUUAUGACUUUU
rnacentral:lncRNA from 10 species